rnacentral:lncRNA from 1 species
UUGUUGGUAAUAUAUGCAAAAUGAAAACGGCACAAAAUAUUGCCUUCGUAUGCAAUAGUAUAUAAACAAUUUUUUUUCCCUUUCUUUUACACAUUUUGGUUAACUUUAAUUUUAUUUCCUGAUUAAUGUAAUUGAUGUGAUGCAUAUACUAUUUGAAAUUAUUUGAUAUUAAAAAAAUGCGUGAAAAGACAUAAUAUUUUUUUUCAAUUGUUUUUUUGUUUUUUUUUUUAAGAGAAAGAACGGUAGCAAAUAACCCCGCUUCGUUCAUUUUUUUAAAACUUUAGAAAUAUAAACAAUUAGAAAUGUUGGUAACAUUUUGAAGAAAUCGCACAAAAUUAUUUCUUUUUAUUUUCGUAAUAAAAAAUAAAAUAUAUGGAGAACACCCGCUAUUUUUUUUUAAAAAAAUUAUCUUCUUUUUUUUUAUUAUCAACAUGUGUAUAUGGUUUAGGGUUUUAGAGGUUUAGUUAUCAUGGCUAGUUUUGUUAUCCUAUUUUUAACUAUUUUGAAUUGAUUUUUUUUAUUUUUUGUUUCAAUCUCAUCAUCAUGAUUUAAGGUUGCAUUUGUUCAUGUUUUGUUAUCCAUAAUUGCUGCUUCUUUUUAAUUCACAUAUGUGCAGAGAUCGUCAUAUUUAGAAAAAUUUUAUUCAUUUGAUUAAACUUUUCAUUCUUGCAAAUUUUUUGUCGGUAACAUUUUGUUGAAUAGAACUAAAUAUUCCGGGUAUCUCCUUUACAAGAUAAAAUUAUUUUUGUGUUUUUAACUCAAUUUUGUUUUCUUUUGUUAUUUAGUUAUUUUCUUUAACUCUUUAGCCUGGUUAGUUUUGUACUCUCUUAUAUGUUCUUUUUUUUUCCGC